AUCCUGAAGUCCCUUCUGAACUUACAUUGUUGUGAUAGGGUUAACAAAUUCCACUGUUAAUAUUUGUUCUUUCUUUUUUAGAACCUAUGCUCCAUCCCAAAGUAUUUGUGUGAAAUACCCAAUAACAAUGGAGUUGAGAAAUAAGGAUAACCAUGAGAAUGAGGAAAAUAAAUCAAGAAUCUAGAUGUCACUCUACAGAAUGCCUCUAUUUGGGUGACUUCUGCAUUUGACUGAAGGAGAAAUGGCUGGAUCCACUGGCUGAGGAUGUUUUGGCAAUAUUGGGAACAGCUUGUCACGAGAAUUAAAUAUUAUUGAAUCUGGUUGACCAGGGCCUGAUUCUGCACUGUGUGCCUUGUCUACUUCUGUGAGACUGUCUGUGGAAUAGGCACAUGAAACUCCAUGCAGCUGGUGGGAAGGAUUAUGACCAGUCCCAGCUCCCCAGUGAGCCUCAUUCUACCAGAGCCUUGUACCUCAAGUGGCAGUGCUUACUUCAGCAAAGAGAGAGAAAGUGAAGUCUGGAGAGUCAAAAAGCCAGGAGCUAUGGAAAGACGGCUGGCUGUCUUCAUGACUUCCAGGUCUGCAGCACGCGCAGCAGUUUCAAGGCCUUACCUCAAGGAUAUGAUUGACUGGGGAGGUAGUAGUGAGUAUAUAGAUAUCUGUGCCCAGACCUCAGUGAAAUAAUGUGACAUUCAAGAACUGAUUGAAAAAAACGAAUCUUCAGAGUCCAUGGGAGUCUGCCUGCUUCAGAUCUAGCAAAAUAAAAUAAAAAGCUCAAGAGCUUUGAGGAAUUAU
rnacentral:lncRNA from 1 species